AGACACAAUAUCUUGACAACCUGCUGCCGAAAGACGUUUUCACUAUGGCACAAGAGUUUUCACUAUGGCUGUGUUUCGCAUAGUUUAUACAAGCUAUUAGAUUUUAUUAAGUUAUUUACUGUUAUAUUAUUUAAACAAGGUGUACUCAAUACUCAUUAAUUCCUUGCAUGUUAGCUACAGUAUAUCUUUAGAAAAACCCAGUAAAAACACAGUUAAGAUCCAACUGGUUGCCGAAAGACACAAUAUCUUGACAACCUGCUGCCGAAAGACGAUUCAUCUUGACAACACAAGAGUUUUCACUAUGGCUGUGUUUCACGUAGUUUAUACACGCUAUUAGAUUUUAUUAAUAAGUUAUUUAUAUUAUUUAGACAAGGUGUACUCAGUACUCACUAAUUCCUUGCAUAUUAGCUACAGUAUAUCUUUAGAAAAACCCAAUAAAAACAGUUAAGAUUCAACUGGUUGCCGAAAGACUAACCUGAAGUUCAGGCCCUAUCACAGAAUAGGGCCUGACACAAAACCUAUCUAAAGUGUGGGAUUCCCGUCCACCUGGUGGACGGGAAAUCUGAUUGGUUGAUCAGCAUCACGAAGGAUUUUGAUUGGUUGCAAGUUCACAUAAACAACAGUUUUAAAAAUAGCUCGGUCAAGGCGAGAAUUAAUAUAAAGGUCAAACGCACGUAACAAAUUCCAUUAUCGAUUUCUUCGAAUUUCUUUUCUUUUAUGCUUUAUGGAAGAAAAUAAAUCAAACAAACAGUAUUUUGAAAGGGCUUCAUCAAAAUCUUUGACGAAUUUUGGACACACACGACACUGAAAGAACAGCCAAACUAGUCCUGUAUUCGAAAGCUUGUUGUUGACAGCCAAGAUGUUCUGCCAACUUGCUUCGCCGGCAAAAGUCUUAUUUUUAAUAUCAGGUCCUACCGGCGUUGUUUUAUGAGCUACAUCGCCUUCUUCGUGGUAUGAUUGAGAAUUUAAUUGUUGCUGUUAUUAGCCCGUUAGUCGUUAGAGUAUAUCCGCGUCCAGCAAGUUGAGACCUUGAGAAAGCUUGGCAGUCAAGCCGUGCACAGAACUGACUAAUUAAAUCUUUGUUUGCUGUUCGCCUGUUCGGUUAAAUAGAGAAACUGACUCUUAAUUAUAUAAAAGUACCUUGAAUUUUUAAGUUUAAUUAAAAAGCAAAAUGCUCUGCGGACAUGUUCAUGAGAAUAUAAUUUUUUUGUAUAACGAAUCCUACAACACUUGUCAAUCAUAUUGCAUGUGUUCUAAAAAUAACAUGUGGGCGUCUCACGGUCUAGACAGGUUUUGUGUAAGGCCCUAUUUCAAAUUAGGGCCUGAACUUCAGGUUACCGAAAGACCCAAUAUCUUGACAACCUGCUGCCGAAAGACGAUUCAUCUUGACAGCACAAGAGUCUCCACUGUGGCUGUGUUUCACAUAGUUUAUACAGACUAUUAGAUUUAUUAAGUUGUUCAUAUUAUUUAAACAUGUUACUCAAUAAUUAGUUACUUGCCGACAACCUGUUGCCAAAAGAUGAUAGUCUCAUUAUGCCAUUAAUGCCCCCUGCACUUUCCCUUUGACAAGUAAAAUCAUCUAGCAUUAGACAAAGUAAAAUAACAAAGUACUACUUAUCAAUCUUGUUUACUUUAUCCAACUUAACUUUUGGUCUAUACUUCAUUUUGUAGAGCCUCUUUAAUGUAUCUCAGCUGUGGAUAUUCUCGGCAUUCAACAUGGUCAAUAUUUUCAAAAGAGUGGGCCUUUUUGUGGGGUUAAGAUCAGUUGCUGCAUUUGCUAACUGUAAUAUGAUUGUGCUGCUGAUUUUCUUGCCAAUUGCCUUAAGAACUCUCCCAAGUGAAUACGUAUCGCUGGCAGUUGUAACAGGAUAUCCCUUCAAGACUUCUGGUGCAAUGUGUUUGUACACUUCCUUGUAUUUCUUUGCCUUUUGGUCGAGAGAUUUCACAAACUUUCCCGAAGUCAAUUAGAUAUCCCUUAUUUUGUGCAACCAACACAUUAUCGGACUUCAAGUCACAGUGGAGAUAUCCUCUUUGGUGCAUGUGGUCAAGUGCAUCAGUGAUGUCAUAACAUAUGCAGAGCCAUGUUUUGGUUGACAUUUCUGAAGCUUGAUGUUGGUACAGUGGGUCAAAUAGCAACUUGAAAACUGUUAUAGACUGACUUUUCUCCCCCAAUAAAUUGCAUUAUCAGGGAGAUUGGCUUUUUGUCUAGCUGCACCCCAAGUAACAAUGGGAUACAUCUGUGUGACAAUUUUUGCAUAAAUAUUGCUUCUUUAUAUAGCAUAUCAGCAGUGCUGUCAAUCAACUGCUUUUCAACAACUGUUAUUCCUAAGGGACGGACCAUUAGAAAAGUGAUG